GGCGUUGUACUCAAGAGGCUUAAGAGAUCGGUUCUGAAAACCGGGAGGCAGGAAACUGCGCGUGGGUUCAAAUCCUACCAACGCCGCCA
rnacentral:tRNA from 1 species